AGAGUUUGAUCCUGGCUCAGAUUGAACGCUGGCGGCAUGCUUUACACAUGCAAGUCGAACGGCAGCACGGGUGCUUGCACCUGGUGGCGAGUGGUGAACGGGUGAGUAAUGCACCGGAACGUACCCAGUAAUGGGGGAUAACACAUCGAAAGAUGUGCUAAUACCGCAUACGCCCUGAGGGGGAAAGCGGGGGAUCGUAAGACCUCGCGUUAUUGGAGCGGCCGAUGCCGGAUUAGCUAGUUGGUGGGGUAAAGGCUCACCAAGGCGACGAUCCGUAGCUGGUCUGAGAGGACGACCAGCCACACUGGGACUGAGACACGGCCCAGACUCCUACGGGAGGCAGCAGUGGGGAAUUUUGGACAAUGGGCGAAAGCCUGAUCCAGCCAUGCCGCGUGAGUGAAGAAGGCCUUCGGGUUGUAAAGCUCUUUCGCAAGGAAAGAAAACUUAUCUACUAA
rnacentral:rRNA from 1 species